AGAGUUUGAUCCUGGCUCAGAACGAACGCUGGCGGCACGCUUAACACAUGCAAGUCGAACGGAAAAUCAGAUUCGUCUGGUUUUUAGUGGCAAACGGGUGAGUAACGCGUAGGAAUCUGCCCUUCGGAGGGGGACAACUUUGGGAAACUAGAGCUAAUACCCCAUAAGCUUACUUAUGUAAGGAAACGGUUUUUCGCCGAGGGAGGAGCCUGCGUCAGAUUAGGUAGUUGGUGGGGUAAAGGCCUACCAAGCCAAAGAUCUGUAGCUGGUCUUAGAGGAUGAUCAGCCACACUGGGACUGAGACACGGCCCAGACUCCUACGGGAGGCAGCAGUGGGGAAUAUUGGACAAUGGGGGAAACCCUGAUCCAGCGAUGCCGCGUGAGUGAAGAAGGCCUUCGGGUUGUAAAACUCUUUCAUUCGUGAAGAUAAUGACGGUAGCGAAAGAAGAAGCUCCGGCUAAUUCCGUGCCAGCAGCCGCGGUAAUACGGGGGGAGCUAGCGUUGUUCGGAAUUACUGGGCGUAAAGGGUGCGUAGGCGGUUUAGUAAGUAAAAUGUGAAAUACCCGAGCUUAACUCUGGUGCUGCAUUUUAUACUGCUAUGACUUGGAUACGAGAGGGGAAAGUGGAAUUCCUAGUGUAGAGGUAAAAUUCGUAGAUAUUAGGAGGAACGUCAGAAGCGAAGGCGGCUUUCUGGCUCUGUAUCGACGCUGAGGCACGAAGGCGUGGGGAGCAAACAGGAUUAGAUACCCUGGUAGUCCACGCAGUAAACGAUGAAUGCUAUAUGUUGGGAAUUUUCUCGGUGUAGAAGCUAACGCGUUAAGCAUUCCGCCUGGGUAGUACGGUCGCAAGAUUAAAACCUAAAGGAAUUGACGGGGGCCCGCACAAGCGGUGGAGCAUGUGGUUUAAUUCGACGAUCCGCGCAGAAACUUACCAGCUUUUGACAUCGGGAUUUCGGGACAGAGAGAUUUGUCCUUUCAGUUCGGCUGGAUCCCAGACAGGUGUUGCAUGGCUGUCGUCAGCUCGUGUCGUGAGAUGUUGGGUUAAGUCCCGCAACGAGCGCAACCCUUGCCUCUUAUUGCCAGCAUUUAGUUGGGUACUUUAGAGGGACUGCCGGUGAUAAGCCGGAGGAAGGUGGGGAUGACGUCAAGUCCUCAUGGCCCUUAUGGGCUGGGCUACACAUGUGCUACAAUGGUGACCACAAUGGGCUGCAAAGGGGCGACCCUGAGCGAAUCCUAAAAGGUCAUCUCAGUUCGGAUUGUUCUCUGCAACUCGAGAGCAUGAAGUCGGAAUCGCUAGUAAUCGUGGAUAAGUACGCCACGGUGAAUACGUUCACGGGCCUUGUACACACCGCCCGUCAAGCCACGGGAGUUGGUCUUACCUUAAGGCAGUGAGCUAACCGCAAGGAGGCAGCCGACCAAGGUUGGGUCGAUGACUGGGGUUAAGUCGUAACAAGGUA
rnacentral:rRNA from 1 species